rnacentral:rRNA from 1 species
GAUGAACGCUGGCGGCGUGCCUAAUACAUGCAAGUCGAGCGAACAGGCGAGGAGCUUGCUCCUCUGACGUUAGCGGCGGACGGGUGAGUAACACGUGGAUAACCUACCUAUAAGACUGGGAUAACUUCGGGAAACCGGAGCUAAUACCGGAUAACAUGUUGAACCGCAUGGUUCAACAGUGAAAGACGGUCUUGCUGUCACUUAUAGAUGGAUCCGCGCCGCAUUAGCUAGUUGGUAAGGUAACGGCUUACCAAGGCAACGAUGCGUAGCCGACCUGAGAGGGUGAUCGGCCACACUGGAACUGAGACACGGUCCAGACUCCUACGGGAGGCAGCAGUAGGGAAUCUUCCGCAAUGGGCGAAAGCCUGACGGAGCAACGCCGCGUGAGUGAAGAAGGUCUUCGGAUCGUAAAACUCUGUUAUUAGGGAAGAACAAAUGUGUAAGUAACUAUGCACGUCUUGACGGUACCUAAUCAGAAAGCCACGGCUAACUACGUG